AUCGCGGAUGCGAAGCUUCCCGACAUGCAGGCCGGCUGGGAGCAGGCGAUCUCCAACGUCAUGGCGGGCCUCUCCGGCCUCAACAUGGUCUACGAGGCGG
rfam:Sinorhizobium saheli strain LMG 7837 scaffold9, whole genome shotgun sequence.